rnacentral:rRNA from 1 species
UACGGGGGGGGGCAAGCGUUGUUCGGAAUUACUGGGCGUAAAGGGCUUGUAGGUGGCCAACUAAGUCAGACGUGAAAUCCCUCGGCUUAACCGGGGAACUGCGUCUGAUACUGGAUGGCUUGAGUGUGGGAGAGGGAUGCGGAAUUCCAGGUGUAGCGGUGAAAUGCGUAGAGAUGUGGAGGAACACCGGUGGCGAAGGCGGCAUCCUGGACCGGCAUUGACGCUGAGGCGCGAAAGCCAGGGGAGCAAACAGG